UGCAGUCGACUUGAGUCUUCGGACUUGGGUGGCGCACGGGUGAGUAACGCGUAAAGAACUUGCCUCUUAGACCGGGACAACAUCUGGAAACGGAUGCUAAUACCGGAUAUUAUGGUUUUUUCGCAUGGAGGAAUCAUGAAAGCUAGAUGCGCUAAGAGAGAGCUUUGCGUCCCAUUAGCUCGUUGGUGAGGUAACGGCCCACCAAGGCAAUGAUGGGUAGCCGGCCUGAGAGGGUGAACGGCCACAAGGGGACUGAGACACGGCCCUUACUCCUACGGGAGGCAGCAGUGGGGAAUAUUGGACAAUGGACCACAAGUCUGAUCCAGCAAUUCUGUGUGCACGAUGACGUUUUUCGGAAUGUAAAGUGCUUUCAGUCGGGAAGAAGUCAGUGACGGUACCGACAGAAGAAGCGACGGCUAAAUACGUGCCAGCAGCCGCGGUAAUACGUAUGUCGCAAGCGUUAUCCGGAUUUAUUGGGCGUAAAGCGCGUCUAGGCGGCAAGGAAAGUCUGAUGUGAAAAUGCGGAGCUCAACUCCGUAUGGCGUUGGAAACUGCCUUACUAGAGUACUGGAGAGGUAGGCGGAACUACAAGUGUAGAGGUGAAAUUCGUAGAUAUUUGUAGGAAUGCUGAUGGGGAAGCCAGCCUACUGGACAGAUACUGACGC
rnacentral:rRNA from 1 species